CCUACGGGCGGCUGCAGUCGAGAAUCUUCGGCAAUGGGCGCAAGCCUGACCGAGCGACGCCGCGUGCGGGAUGAAGGCCUUCGGGUUGUAAACCGCUGUCGAGGGGAAUGAAGUGCAGGUGGGUUCUCCCAUCUGUUUGACAGAUCCCUGGAGGAAGCAUGGGCUAAGUUCGUGCCAGCAGCCGCGGUAAGACGAACCAUGCAAUCGUUAGGCCGAUAAACUGGCCUUAAAGCGUGCGUAGGUCGGGUGUGAAAGCCCUCAGCCCAACUGAGGAAUUGCGCUUGAUACUGCAUGACUAGAGAAUGAUAGAGGUGAGUGGAACUGAUGGUGGAGCGGUGAAAUGCGUUGAUAUCAUCAGGAACACCAGUGGCGAAGGCGACCCACUGGGUCAUUUCUGACGCUGAGGUACGAAAGCUAGGGUAGCGAACGGGAUUAGAUACCCUAGUAAUC
rnacentral:rRNA from 1 species